rnacentral:ncRNA from 1 species
AUACGUGCAGGGUGGAGAUGCACAACCAUCGGAUUGCGUAGCUGCAAGCUUUCAUCCAGACGCACAAGGCGUCCGCUGCCGAUGCUUGAUUCCUCCUCCUGAUUGAUUGCUUUCUGCCACAACAGUAAGCAGGAGACGUAGUCGCGACUCUGGCCACCAGCCAAAUGUUGCUUGACACGGGAACGGACGACAACCUUUCCUGAACGGCCCCUGUCACCGACCGCGAGAGUCGUGUGUGCCGAACGCCGUUUCCGGCAGCCCGGAAACCGA